GGUACUUAGAGAAGGAACAGAUGUUCCUUCUCUCUCAUCCAGCCAUUAGUGGGGAGAGGUGGUGGUCAGGAAACACUUCCUGGAAGACAGAACACCUGAGAGAAUUCAAAAUGAGAGGAGAUCCACGUGGAGAUGAAAACAGCUAUUCCUCAGAGUCAGAGCUGGGGAGUAUCUUCCUCAGUGAUCACUUAGAUUUUAGCCCCUUUGGAUGGCUUCUAAAUAAGUGUAUGCUGUGGUAGCUACACUACAUAUCUAUGGGAUGCUUGCAAGAAUACAAAAAUGAACUUUACUAGUUAUGAGAGACUACAUUGCUGAAGCCAAUGGACUCUAAAGUACAGUGGUUCAAACCCAAUAGAAGAUUAUCACACAUAAAGCAGGGUGAAUAUUCCAAGUCAGCUGCAACGGUCUUCCGCAUGGAAAAUCAGGACUGCGAGCUCCUCCAUCUGAGAUUCAGCUUUCCUAAGGUCUUGAUGUCUCUUUGGUCCAGUUAAAGGAAGUGGGGUGGGGAAGGAAGGUGUGGACACUUUCUUAAAGGGCUACGCUAGGGACUGGUACACCAUAUUUCUCCUUAUAUUUUGUUGGCAAAAAUUAAUCACAUGGCCACAGACAGCUGCAAGAGCUGCUGGGAAAGUUAGUUCCAGGUUGCGCAACUGCUUCCAGUCAUAACUCUAUUUCUAUGGACGAGGAAGAUCUUGGUGAGCAGCUAUUGUCUUACUCACAAAAGCUGAGAGAAAGAAAAUGGAUAAAAUGGAUAGCCACAGAAAAUCUAAGUUAAGUCACUAAUAAAAAUGCCUCUCUGCUCCA